rnacentral:rRNA from 1 species
UGGGGAAUAUUGGACAAUGGGCGAAAGCCUGAUCCAGCCAUGCCGCGUGUGUGAAGAAGGUCUUCGGAUUGUAAAGCACUUUAAGUUGGGAGGAAGGGCAGUAAGCGAAUACCUUGCUGUUUUGACGUUACUGACAGAAUAAGCACCGGCUAACUCUGUGCCAGCAGCCGCGGUAAUACAGAGGGUGCAAGCGUUAAUCGGAAUUAGUGGGCGUAAAGCGCGCGUAGGUGGUUCGUUAAGUUGAAUGUGAAAGCCCCGGGCUCAACCUGGGAACUGCAUCCGAAACUGGCGAGCUAGAGUAGGGCAGAGGGUGGGAGAAUUUCCUGUGUAGCGGUGAAAUGCGUAGAUAUAGGAAGGAACACCAGUGGCGAAGGCGACCACCUGGGCUCAUACUGACACUGAGGUGCGAAAGCGUGGGGAGCAAACAGG